rnacentral:rRNA from 1 species
UCUCCUGGAAACGGGUGGUAAUGCCCGGAUGUUCCACAUGAGCGCAUGCGAGUGUGGGAAAGGCUUUUUGCGGCAUGGGAUGGGGUCGCGUCCUAUCAGCUUGUUGGUGGGGUAACGGCCUACCAAGGCGUUGACGGGUAGCCGGCUGAGAGGGCGACCGGCCACAUUGGGACUGAGAUACGGCCCAGACUCUACGGGAGGCAGCAGUGGGGAAUAUUGCACAAUGGGCGCAAGCCUGAUGCAGCGACGCCGCGUGCGGGAUGGAGGCCUUCGGGUUGUAAACCGCUUUUGUUCAAGGGCAAGGCACGGUUUCGGCCGUGUUGAGUGGAUUGUUCGAAUAAGCACCGGCUAACUACGUGCCAGCAGCCGCGGUAAUACGUAGGGUGCAAGCGUUAUCCGGAUUUAUUGGGCGUAAAGGGCUCGUAGGCGGUUCGUCGCGUCCGGUGUGAAAGUCCAUCGCUUAACGGUGGAUCCGCGCCGGGUACGGGCGGGCUUGAGUGCGGUAGGGGAGACUGGAAUUCCCGGUGUAACGGUGGAAUGUGUAGAUAUCGGGAAGAACACCA